rnacentral:tRNA from 1 species
GCCUGGGUGGCUCAGUGGUUGAGCGUCUGACUUCGGCUCAGGUCACGAUCUAGCAGUUCAUGAGUUCGAGCCCCACGUCAGGCU